UACGUAGGUGGCAAGCGUUGUCCGGAUUUAUUGGGCGUAAAGCGCGUGCAGGCGGCUGGCUAAGUCCGGUGUGAAAUCUCUCGGCUCAACCGGGAGGGGUCAUUGGAUACUGGUCAGCUCGAGGGAGGUAGAGGAGUGUGGAAUUCCCGGUGUAGUGGUGGAAUGCGUAGAUAUCGGGAGGAACACCAGCGGCGAAGGCGGCACUCUGGGCCUUUCCUGACGCUGAGGCGCGAAAGCGUGGGGAGCGAACCGG
rnacentral:rRNA from 1 species